CGGACGGGUGAGUAACACGUGGAUAACCUACCUAUAAGACUGGGAUAACUUCGGGAAACCGGAGCUAAUACCGGAUAAUAUAUUGAACCGCAUGGUUCAAUAGUGAAAGACGGUUUUGCUGUCACUUAUAGAUGGAUCCGCGCCGCAUUAGCUAGUUGGUAAGGUAACGGCUUACCAAGGCAACGAUGCGUAGCCGACCUGAGAGGGUGAUCGGCCGCACUGGAACUGAGACACGGUCCAGACUCCUACGGGAGGCAGCAGAC
rnacentral:rRNA from 1 species